AGCAGCCGCGGUAAUUCCAGCUCCAAUAGCGUAUAUUAAAGUUGUUGCAGUUAAAAGCUCGUAGUUGAAUUUCGGGACCAAUAUUUCGGUCAUGCCGUUGGUAUGCACUGUUAUCAUUGAUUUCUCACCCUCUAAAGAACCGUAAUGCCAUUAAUUUGGUGUUACGGGGAAUUAGGACUGUUACCUUGAAAAAAUUAGAGUGUUUAAAGCAGGCUCACGCUUGAAUACAUUAGCAUGGAAUAAUGAAAUAGGACGUUUGAUUCUAUUUUGUUGGUUUCUAGGAUCGACGUAAUGAUUAAUAGGGAUAGUUGGGGGCAUCAGUAUUCAAUUGUCAGAGGUGAAAUUCUUGGAUUUAUUGAAGACUAACUACUGA
rnacentral:rRNA from 1 species